GUUGCCAAACCCUAACCUUGUGUUUGGUCUUGCAAGAGAGAUGAGCAGCAAUGACAUUGCACGUACCAAUGCGCUAUAUGGAUGUGAUUAAUAAAGAAUAGAGAGCAACGGUUUGGCUGUCAUAUUUGCCCAACUCUUAAGAUGACAACAUCUGUUGUGUGAACAAAAUGAAGACAGAGAAAUACACGCCUGUGUUCGCUGGCAUCUACACUUUCUGAUUACCUUUGCUUUGCUUUUCGCUCUUUUCCUUUUUGAACAGUGGCUUAUUGCUGUAUUUGUCAGGUUAAGAACUGAUGUGCCAGAAAAAUGAUACAUGUAUUGACUCAGAAACUAAAAAAAAAACCAAAACAACAAUAAAGUCUAAAAAUGUGUAUCUGUAACCAGUGUUGUACGUAACAACUGCCUUUGACAAGUGUACUUUACCGCAGGGAUGGGUGGAGAUGUGUCUGAUGCUACUCCACUGUAAAUUUUGGACAUAUACACAAUUUUACUCACACAUAACCACCA